ACUUUGCAAUGUGCGAAAGCACGACAAGGUUAAUCCGAGUGUUUUCUGCUAAAGAAAUCUUUUGUCAGUCCUAGAAACACUGAUGAAUAAGGGGUGGGCAAGUUCUGGUGUCAGCCGCCGCGGUAAAACCAGCACCUCAAGUGGUCAGGAGGAUUAUUGGGCCUAAAGCAUCCGUAGCCUGCUUUGUAAGUUUUCGGUUAAAUCCAUAUGCUCAACAUAUGGGCUGCCGGGAAUACUGCACAGCUAGGGAGUGGGAGAGGUAGACGGUACUCGGGUAGGAAGGGGUAAAAUCCUUUGAUCUAUUGAUGACCACCUGUGGCGAAGGCGGUCUACCAGAACACGUCCGACGGGUGAGGGAUGGAAAGCGUGGGGGAG
rnacentral:rRNA from 1 species